AGAACGAACGCUGGCAGCGUGGAUUAGGCAUGGCAAGUCGGACGGGAUCGGGAAGGUAGCAAUAUCGGCCGUGAGAGUGGCGGAAGGGCGAGGAACACGUGGGCAACCUGUCCUUGAGGUGGGGAAAACCGCUGGAAACGGCGGCUAAUACCGAAUGUGGCGCCGGGAGGCAUCUUCCGAGCGCUAAAGGGGGCGAAAGCUCCCCCUCUUCGAGGGGCUCGCGCACCAUCAGCUUGUUGGCGGGGUAACGGCCCACCAAGGCUCACGGUUAGCUGGUCUGAGAGGAUGGCCAGCCGCACUGGGACUGAGAUACUGCCCAGACUCCUACGGGAGGCUGCAGUCGAGGAUCAUUCGCAAUGGGGGAAACCCUGACGAUGCGACGCUGCGUGGAGGAUGAAGGCCCUCGGGUCGUAAACUCCUGUCAUGAGGGAAAAGGCGAGGGGGCCCAACACGUCCCUUAGUUGAUGGUACCUCAAGAGGAACGGGCGGCUAACUCUGUGCCAGCCGCAGC
rnacentral:rRNA from 1 species